UACGUAGGUGGCAAGCGUUGUCCGGAAUUAUUGGGCGUAAAGCGCGCGCAGGCGGUUUCUUAAGUCUGAUGUGAAAGCCCACGGCUCAACCGUGGAGGGUCAUUGGAAACUGGGAGACUUGAGUGCAGAAGAGGAGAGUGGAAUUCCACGUGUAGCGGUGAAAUGCGUAGAGAUGUGGAGGAACACCAGUGGCGAAAGCGGCGCACUGGACCGCAACUGACGCUGAGGCGCGAAAGCGAGGGGAGCAAACAGG
rnacentral:rRNA from 1 species